rnacentral:rRNA from 1 species
UCUUUUUGUAGAGAUUUAAAGUCGGGCCUGCCCACUGAAAUAUGAAGGGCCGCGGUAUUUUGACCGUGCAAAGGUAGCAUAAUCAUUAGUCUUUUAAUUGAGGGCUGGAAUGAAUGGUUUGAUGAAAUAAUAACUGUCUCUUUAUUAUUAAUUUGAAUUUUACUUUUGAGUUAAAAGGCUCAAAUAUUGUUAAGGGACGAGAAGACCCUAUAGAUCUUGAUGAUUAUUAUUAUUUGAUAAUUUUUGGUUGUUUUAAUAUUUUAUGGGUAAUGAUCAUUUUAUUGGGGUGAUAUGAGAAUAUUUUAACUUCUUAAAAGUUGACUUUGAUUAGUGGAUAUAAGAUCCUGUAUUAUGGAAUUGAGAUUAAGAUACCUUAGGGAUAACAGCGUAAUUUUGUUGGAGAGUUCUUAUCGAUAAUGGAGAUUGCGACCUCGAUGUUGGAUUAAGAAUAUAUAUUGGUGUAGUUGUUAAUAAUAUUGGUCUGUUC